CACACACACACACACACAUCCCAUCUCUGGCUCUGAGAGUCAGUCUCUGGGGGGCAAGGGGCUGAUCCUCUGCCUGCCCCUGCCUGCCCUUUUAUGACAGCACCAAGGGCGGGGGUGGGGGCAGGGCCCUCAGCCCCCAGAACAAGUCCCUGUGCAAACUGGAGGUGCCAGCUGGCUUUAGGAUGGGUGUCACAUUUCCCCAUUCCUGGAGUCCCUUCCUCCAGUUCCUGAGGGAGGGACUAUUCUCUGCCUACCUGGGGGGCCAGACCCUGCCAGGGCUGGGCCCUGUGGAACCCAGUCUUACCCCCCCACCUGACCCUGCCAGGACCUCCAGCCUGAAGAAUAGCCAAGUCUGAGGUUGUGGGGAUCCCCCACUGGAGAGCAGGAAGGCCUGGGCCCAGAGGCAUCUGGGGAGGGGUCAUCACCCCCUCUCCUAAUCCAUCUUCAAUAUGAAGAGGUUUGGGGCACACUUCCUGGGGAGGGAGCACAGGCCUGGAGAAGUCCUAGCAUGGGCCUUCCCCAAACUUCCAUCUUCUGGGCCACAGCCUAAGGCCAGGCAUCCAAAAGUCCAAAAGUCCAGCUGACCAGUUGGAGUCCCUGCGCAGUCCUGGGGGGGGGCACCCCCAGUAGGAGCUGGGUGUCAGACCUGCACAGGCAGUGUCUGGUUCAUCUGCAGCCGCAUGUCCUGAAUACUGCUGAGAAUCUUCUUCUGGUGGCCAGCCAGGGUG
rnacentral:lncRNA from 1 species